AUGCAGCCAAAUGCUGUCUAUUGUAAGGACGUCUUGGACAUCGGGCGGUUCUCCGUGGUGAAGGGUGUCUACCUGGACACCACAGACGAGAGCUUCUAUGCUCAGUUUGCAACAGGGUGUGUCCCCAUCCCCUGGCAGAAAGAGAUGAUCGAGACUGAGUGUUUCAAGGACGUGAAUGACCGUGAAAAUGAGCGUCUGGAGGAGAAGUUACAUGCCCCACCUCCAAGGCCGAAGAGGAACCUCUUCUACAAGUUCUUCAGAAGAAUGUACACAGAACACACCUUACAUGGUAAGCCAUCUCCUAAAGUGGGGCUGCCUAACAUUUCCUCUGAGGCCUCGGGGCUGGUCAUGAACUUGCCAAAUGGGCCUCCCUACCUUCCAAAGUGCAGCAAGUCCUGUUCGGAACCUCCCUGGGCUGGAGCAAUGGUGUUGGCACCAGGAGAAGCUGCAGGUGGUGGAAGGAGCAGCUCUGUGGUGCAAGGCCAGCGAGCCCAUCCCUCUGUCGGCAGCCAGCGCCAUGUGCGUCUGAGCUUCGUGCAGCAGAAUGGGAGGAGGUGGGCUUCGUGUGUGAAGGGUGUCCGUUCCACUCCCGAGGUCGGUGAGGAGAUGAUGUUAAGGCCUUGCUGGCUUCUGGUUGGCACCCAGGAGUGUACGGUGCGCAUGACGUCGUCCUGUGCCUUCAGGAUGCCCAAGGUCCCCGGGGAAAUAGAUACCCUCCUGCCUCUGCCUGGCCACCGUAUCCAGUACAAUGGGAGCGCUAUGGAAUUAGUUAUUAUACUGUGUUUUUAAAUUUGUGUUUUUGUUGUUAUAUUUUUUUCAUUGUUCUUUUAUAGUAUUUUUGAUUCAGGGUUGGUUGAAUCCUUGUUUGCAAGUGGAAGUUGUAGUAGAUUCGGAGAGCUGACUGUGCAGUUGAGGGAAGUUGAGGCAGCGUGUAGUGGGAUGUGCUAAGAUGUGGGGUACUGUGUGUUGCAGGGCUGCCUGAGGACCAGCUGCUGAGAGGAAGAGAGCCCACAGGACGCUGACCGUCACCUUGCAAACCUUGGAGCCUGCCCAGUGCCGAGGCAGAGCCGUGCCCGGUGUCCUAAUAAAUGCAGCCUGCAACUUGGUGGAAAGCGUGCCUCUGUGAUUCUUCUACCUCAGUCCUGCAUUGUCUCUUCACUAACACGGGCCUGAAGCAAAGGCCCAAGAAUACAAUGUGGUACCGGAAG
rnacentral:lncRNA from 1 species